rnacentral:lncRNA from 1 species
GUUCAAUGAGAUUUGCUACUUCUUACUAUAUUACCAAACAUUUUUUUUCAGGCUCUGAUAUCUACUUUCUGUGUCUAUUUUCAAAAAAUAUCUAAGUUGGUUAGCAAGUGUAAUUUCUAAUGUGCCACAUCAGUUGUGAUCCAAAGCCUCAGGUAACACAUCUGAUACAUUGGUUUUGUGAUCUUGGUGGUUACUUUAAUUUUCUCAGCCCAUGUUUCUUCAUUUAUAAAAUGGGAUGGGGUGGAUUUAACAGCUUUAUUAGCAUAGGAACUUGAUGCAAUUAGCAGUCUCUUCCACAAACUUCAGCAUCUGAGGAACCCAUAAGUAAUCUCUUGUCUAAUUCCAUUCUUCAUUGGACACCUUCCUGGACAAUGGCCAAGACCUUGGGGAAGUAUAGAAUGAUGUCUCUCCUGGAGAAGAAGGUGCGGGAAAAACAGUCUGCUGCAUCCUGCCUGCCCUUCUCACCUACUGCAGGGAAGGCAGAACAAUCUUAUCAGCUUCAUAAUUUCCCACUUAUGACAAAAAAAUCAACCAGCAUCCUUAACAUUGCUGAAAACAUUAAAAUGACCCAGAGCUUAAAUUAUCUUCCAUUUCAAGAUCUCCAAGUAGUAAAUCAAAAUGCACAAUAAUCAUUCCUAUGAGACAGAUGGAGCAACAGAAGCAGAAAAAGAAGAAAACACUUCCCCAGAGCCAUUUGGCAGUUCCAUCUUCCAGAGUAUGUGCCUUCCGCACUUUUUUAUCCACUGUGUCCGGCAAUAAAGCAACCAAAGAAGAUCCA